UACGGAGGGGGCUAGCGUUGUUCGGAAUUACUGGGCGUAAAGCGCACGUAGGCGGCUUUGUAAGUAAGAGGUGAAAGCCUGGAGCUCAACUCCAGAAUUGCCUUUUAGACUGCAUCGCUUGAAUCAUGGAGAGGUGAGUGGAAUUCCGAGUGUAGAGGUGAAAUUCGUAGAUAUUCGGAAGAACACCAGUGGCGAAGGCGGCUCACUGGACAUGUAUUGACGCUGAGGUGCGAAAGCGUGGGGAGCAAACAGG
rnacentral:rRNA from 1 species